GACGGAGUUUCACCAUGUUGGCCAGGAUGGUCUUCAACUUCUAACUUCGUGAUCCACGCUGCUGGGAUUACAGGUGUGAGCCACCGCGUGUGGCCUCUGGGCACCUUUUGAAGGUGGUUUCACCCCAACAUCAGCAGGGUGGAGGCGGAGAAGCUGUUCCUAUCCAGAGGUCAGCGUGGGGACUUCCUUGCCAGGCCCAGUGAGAGCAGCCCGGGGGGCUUCACGCUGUCCGUCAGGUAGCUGAAGCAGAGAGAGAAGGCGGCAGGCAUCAGCGUUUUCUUCUAUGAACUUAUAAGAUCAAAGACUUUAAGACUUUCACUAUUUCUUCUACCGCUAUCUACUACGAACUUCAAAGAGGAACCAGGAGUACGGAAGGAGCAUGAAAGUGGACAAGGAACGUGACCAUUGAAGCACCACAGGGAGGGGUUCAGGCCUCCGGAUGACUGCAGGCAGGCCUGGGUAACAUCCAGCCUCCCACAAGAAGCUGGUGGAGCAGAGCGUUCCCUGACUCCUCCAAGGAAAGGAGACUCCCUUUCCCGGUCUGCUCAGUAACGGGUGCCUUCCCAGACACUGGCGUUACCGCUUGACCAAGGGGCCCUCAAGCGGCCCUUAUGCGGGCAUGACAGAAGGCUCCCCUCUUGCCUUCUAUUCACUUCUCACAAUGUCCCUUCAGCACCUGACCCUAUACCUGCCGGUUAUUCCUAGGUUAUAUUAUUAAUGCAACAGAGUAAUAUUAAAAGCUAAUGAUUAAUAAUGUUUAUAAUAAUGAUGGAUAAUUG
rnacentral:lncRNA from 1 species